AUGGGCAAGAACCCUGGUGGGUUCCGGCCCCAUCAGGCUGGUGGGGAAGCAGAAGUUGUGGGCAGAGCUGGGGCCUGGGCUGUUUGUGUGCUGGGGGCUGGGCACAUGCACCAAUGUGGCCACUACUACUACGGCUCCUUCGACAGCUGGGGACAGGGCACCUUGGUCACCAUCUCCUCAGGUAACCUGUCCUCCCCAAAAGUCUUCCCGCUGGUGUCCUGUGAGAGCCCCCAGUCACAGAAGAGCACGGUGGCCCUGGGCUGCCUCGCACGGGACUUCCUGCCCGACACCAUCAGCUUCUCCUGGAACUACAAGAACAGCUCCUCGGUGAGCCGCAGCAAUGUCAAGACCUUCCCAACGGUCCACAGACAGGGCACGUACGCGGCCACCUCGCAGGUGCUGCUGCCCGAGAGUGUGCCCCAGAGCACUGACGAGCACCUGGUGUGCAAAGUGCUGCACGGCACCACCAACAAAGACGUGAUCGUGAACUUCCCAGUGUUCACAGUGCUGCGCCCCAAAGUGGCCGUGCUCAUCCCGCCCUGCGAUUCCUCCUCCGGACCCAGCCAGCGCAAGACCAGGC